rnacentral:rRNA from 1 species
AACGAACGCUGGCGGCAGGCCUAACACAUGCAAGUCGAACGAACCGUUUACGGUGAGUGGCGCACGGGUGAGUAACACGUGGGAAUAUACAUUUCGGUAAGGAAUAACGUAGAGAAAUUUACGCUAAUACCUUAUAAUGACUACGGUCCAAAGAUUUAUCGCCGUAGGAUUAGCCCGCGUUAGAUUAGGUAGUUGGUAGGGUAAUGGCCUACCAAGCCUACGAUCUAUAGCUGGUCUUAGAGGAUGAUCAGCCACACUGGAACUGAGACACGGUCCAGACUCCUACGGGAGGCAGCAGUGAGGAAUAUUGCGCAAUGGGGGAGACCCUGACGCAGCCAUGCCGCGUGAGUGACGAAGGCCUUAGGGUUGUAAAGCUCUUUCAGAUGUAAAGAUAAUGACGGUAACAUCAGAAGAAGCUCCGGCUAAAUUCGUGCCAGCCGCCGCCGUAA